CNGAUAGCUUGCAGUCUCUCCAGGGAGCUGA
rnacentral:piRNA from 1 species